UCUAGUCAGGACUAAUCACGGUGUUUCAGUGCGGAGUGCCAAGAGUCCUAUCCUGACGUCAGGCUCUGGGUGUCAACCUCUGACUUAUUCUGCAGAUGCUCUGUCAUUUACUUGGAGCUCUUUGUGACACACCAUGUCAGUCAUGAUGAAUCGGCCAACAGCCAGCCCUUGCCAGCUGACGUCACAGUCUAAGAUGGGAAACUGUGGUACAGAUAGACAUGAAGAGAGCUUAGCAGUGAUUGAGGUGGUGACUAAAUAUACAGUCAUUGAAUAAAUACCAUGUAGCAAGUGUA
rnacentral:lncRNA from 1 species